GAGGGAUUCAACAUGCAAGGAUUUUAUCAGAGGAAGUACAUGUGGCAGGAAAUAGAGAGGGAGCAGAGAAAGCUACAAGCCCUGACUCCAAGCAAAGAAAAAAGCCUGAGCUUUGGAAAGCCUUCAGAGAAUGAGUGAGGAAAUUCAGGUUCGUGCAGUUCUCUGACAAUCCUUGCACCAGCUCUGUGCACCCUUCCCCCAGCUUCUGCGUGCUUUGCUCUGGGGCUGACCCCUGCAACUCUCAGGAGAUUGCACGGAGCCCCCUCGCCCUUACAGAGAGCCUCUCGCUCACCUAUAACCAAGAACUCUCUUCGUGGGAGGACAAACACCAGCUCUUCUGCCUCCAGGUGAGACAAGCCGAGGGCUCUUGUGAUGCCCAGGAUCUGCCCGAGGCUGCGCUUCACCCGAACUCUCCCCGUGGAGGCAGAGGGCUCCUUCCCCUCCCUCUCCUGCUUUCCCCACUGCCUAGGUUCUCCAGAGAACACUCCCUUCAUAAACUGCUAGCACCAAGUUCUUGACCAGGUUCUAGAAGAAUCUGACCUGAGACUGAAAACACAAGUCUUUAAAUGUCACUGGACACAGGCUUAUGAGUUGGGCUGUCCCCUCUAUCUUCAGAGCUGGACGUCAACAGGAGUGUUUGGGACGCCAAGUCACAGUUGGAGAAACUGGGCAUUCAGGAGGUGAAGAGACCUGCCCAGCCUCACGGCAAAGGCAAGUGCUGGGACUCUGCCUCCGAUCUGUUCCUCUGAAGCUAAGCUCCAGCUGGCUCUCUCUGCCUCGCCGAUCAAGGCUGGUUAGGAGGUGUUUCUACUUGUUUGUCUUUUAAAUUCAAAAACACUUUAAUUCAAAGCUCACCCGUUAAUGGCAGUGCCAGGAUUCCACCCCAGAGUGGUUGGUUCCAUCCUGGGCAGAGUUCUGGAGGCAAUGGCCAUCUGCUCCCUUGACAAUUGAGCCUGGUAUUCAAAUGUGGCUGGUGGUGACAGGGGAUGGGUAAACACCAUACCCCAAAGGCGGUGGCAGGGCAGAGAAGUGCACUUUCAAAUGGAGCAACAAAUCCCAGCUUCAGACUCCCAGAGGAGGUGUUCUCAGCUGGGGGCCCUGGUAAUGUCUUGGGGGAUGAGCUGAGACUGCUCACCUUCACCAGGUUUCCCCAGGCAAUCCUGGUCUGCUCCGUUCUCAUCUCCAUGACCUCUCUCUCUCUCUUUGUGCUCCAAUGACUCUGAACACACAGAGCUGCUCCACCCCUCCCGCCCUCGGCUUGACUUGUUCCCCUGCCUGCACUGCCCUCUCCAUGUUCCACUCUGUAAACAAAUCUUACACCAUCUAUUAUAUUGAUGGCUGUUUGGUACAGUGGUUAAGGGCUUGGGAUCUGGCUCUGAGAUCCCGUGACCCGGGCUCUGUUCCAGGCUCUGCUGCUGAACAAGUGUGUGAAAAUGGGCAAGUUAUUUAGCUUAUCUACAGCUCUCGCCAUAAAGUUCUGGGGGCCGGGCAUCAUUCUAGGUAGAUGAGAUGUAGACAGGGCACUUGAGACACAGCGUAGACUCUUAAUGUUUAACUUGAGUUGGAUUCACUUGCUGUACCUCACCUAGAGCAGUAGAAUGUGCUUUGUAAGACAAAGAGACAAAUUAGUGUUGGAGUUGCCUUCAGCCAAGAGCCUCUUCAUGGACAGUGUUGGUUUCAGGCCUCAACUCCUCCCUUUCCAGCUAGGUGACUUUGGGCAAGUCUCUGAUUUACUUCCCAAGGCUGUUGGAAGAAAGGAUAAGUGCUUUGGACAGCAUAAAGCAAAUGCCAUACAAUGGAGCGAUGUCUGUGCCAAACAGGGGCUUCCUGGAGACAAAAACAACAACAAAAAGGCAAAAGUAUGGCUUUUUAAUGGUGAAAUCUAAAGCACAGCCAGGCCAGAAGAGGAGGUACAUGUAGAAGCAGGUGACAUGCAAGUUCUGGAGGACCCAGCUUUGACGGUCUCACCUAGAGCUGAUUCUGGGCUCAGCCAAAGCACCAUCAGUCCUAGAGGGAGAGAACCCCAUAGAAAUUCAGAGUGAAGAGUUCUUGAUACAAUAACGUUUUCAUUCAGGAAAAGCUGUGCGUGGAACUAUGCCAGGUACCUACAUGUUUUAUUAGUGGCUCAUUUACGCUUAUGACAACUCUGUAAAGCAGAUGUCAUUACUCCCAUUUUAUAGAUGAGGAAACUGAAGCUCAGAGGUAUGGCAAACUGCCCAAGGAUAUGCAGUCUAUUAAUGACUGUGCCAGGAUUCCAACCCUGUGUGACUGGUUCCAAGGUGAAAAUUACUGUCACUUAUUGCAUGUUACAAUCUUCCUCUCCUAUAUUAUCUUAUUUGACCUUAUCAUCAAUCUCUGAGAUAACAAAUAAAUCCCUGGUCGAAGUUCAGCUCACAGUGGGUCCAAGUGGUCCAUCCAUGGAGCUGACUGAUGGGCAUUUCUGCAGUCCCAAGUGUAUAAUGUGAAUGGAUAUACUUGGGAGUAAAAUCCUUCAUUGGUUUCUUGGGCAGGAGGGUGGGAGCUAUGAUGGUGGAAAAGGCCAAAUGGAAGCCCCUGGAACUGCCCCCACGCAUGUCAUAUCCCUCGGAGAAUGGCAGAGACUAGUGCUGCUCUCAGCAUCCUAGAAGAUGCAAGGAUGGUAGUCCCCUACCAAAGCCAGAUGGGUCCUGGAAGAUGACAGUGAACUACCUAAACUUUAAUGAAGUCACAGCCCUGAUUGCUAUUUCUGAAUAUGGUAUCCUUGCUACAGUAGAUGAACAAGACCUGAUCUCAUAACCUAGAGAAUGGGAGAAAAUAUUUGCAAAUGAUGUGAUUGACAAAGGUUUAAUUUCCAGAAUAUAUAUACAGCUCAUACAACCUAAUAACAGAAAAACAAACAACCC